UGCACGGUGUUCACUGCAGCUUUCUCGGGAGAGCAGGGAUUUAUUAGGAAGACACACAGCAAAGCAACCUUUCGUAGGUCAGAGAGGGCUCUGAGUGGGAGAACUCACACGUGCACAUAAUGCUGUAACAAUCGGGCCCUGACUGGGGCAGGCGAUGACUGCAGUCCUCAUCGCCAGCAAGCCUGCUCUUCACCCCUACCCACAGGCACGCCUCUGCCCAUCAAGUCAGGGCAUCUGUGCGACGGAGUCAUGACAUCAGCCAGUUCUCUCCUGUCACUGCCCUCCUGGGUACACUGUCCACCUUUGGGCUCAUGUGACAAGACACAGCAGGAGAGAAGAAGGCUACAUUCUAUUUCCUUCCAGCCAACAGCAUCACCAAUACAUGGAAACACAGGGGCCUGGAUACACAAACCUGUAAUUCCAGCUACUCGGGAGGCUGAGGCAGGAGGAUCACAAGCUGAAGACCAGUUCGAGACUGGACAUCAAAACUUUAAAAAUACGAAGAAGGGGAUGUAGCUUAGUUGGUAGAGAACUUGCCUCAAAAGCACAAGGCGCUGGCUUGUAUCCCAGCACCACAUAAAACCAGACAUGGUGGUGGAUGCCUGUAAAUCCCAGCUCUGAGAAGGUGCGAAGAGGAGGAUAAGUUCAAGAUCAUCUUUGGUUAUACACAGAGGUCAAGACUAGCCUAGGCUACAUGAAACCCCUUUCUCAAAAAACUUAACUAGAUAUAUGAUGCAUAGAUAAAUGGAUAGAUAGGUAGAUACAUAGAUACAAGAUAGACAGACAGAUAGAUAGAUAACAGAUAAAUGAUAGACAGGCAGACAGAUAGAUAAUAAACAGACAGAUAGAUAUAUAGAUACAUACAUACAUAUAUACAUACAUAGAUAGAUAAUAGAUUAUAGAAAGACAGACAGAGAGUAAAACGAAGACAGAAGCUUCAUAGUAAUAACAUCCCUAGCAUGUGCAAGCACAAUUCCAAGCAUCACACACACACACACACCAUAAU
rnacentral:lncRNA from 1 species